AACGAACGCUGGCGGCAUGCCUAACACAUGCAAGUCGAACGAGACCUUCGGGUCUAGUGGCGCACGGGUGCGUAACGCGUGGGAACCUGCCCUUAGGUUCGGAAUAACUGCCCGAAAGGGGUGCUAAUACCGGAUAAUGUCUUCGGACCAAAGAUUUAUCGCCUUUGGAUGGGCCCGCGUUGGAUUAGCUAGUUGGUAGGGUAAAAGCCUACCAAGGCGACGAUCCAUAGCUGGUCUGAGAGGAUGAUCAGCCACACUGGGACUGAGACACGGCCCAGACUCCUACGGGGGGCAGCAGUGGGGAAUAUUGGACAAUGGGCGAAAGCCUGAUCCAGCAAUGCCGCGUGAGUGAUGAAGGCCUUAGGGUUGUAAAGCUCUUUUACCCGGGAUGAUAAUGACAGUACCGGGAGAAUAAGCUCCGGCUAACUCCGUG
rnacentral:rRNA from 1 species